AUACAACUUUCAGCAACGGAUCUCUUGGCUCUCGCAUCGAUGAAGAACGCAGCGAAAUGCGAUAAGUAAUGUGAAUUGCAGAAUUCAGUGAAUCAUCGAAUCUUUGAACGCACCUUGCGCUCCUUGGUAUUCCGAGGAGCAUGCCUGUUUGAGCG
rnacentral:rRNA from 1 species